AGUUUUGACGAGACAAACUCUUGGCUGGUGUAAAUUAGAACAUUUGGAACAUGCUAAAGUCUAAUUAUAAACGGAAUAGCUAAAUUGGGGGAAAGGAGCAAACUAGCUAUAGACUUUACUGCAUCCUCAUAAUCCUAGUGUGACAAUGACUCAGAGUAAGCCCCUCCUGCUUCCUGGCAGCGAAUGGUGUAGCGUCUACCUGGCUUCUCUGUCAAAUUGGAAUCUAGGCCCCUGGUUGGACUGGAGGAUAUUACGGUGCUGUUGGGAAGCUGUGGCUGGCAACAACACCUGACUCCGUACUUCAGGCCGCUGCCACAGAUCAAGCAGUGCCAGCACUUCAGCUUCAUUGCUCUGGAGCCUGGUGUUGUUGUCACCAAGGAGCGCUUGGACUGUCAGGAUCAGAUUUUAGCUGCUGUGCAUCACUGACAUCCUUCCUCCCAUAGAUGGUCUGCCUGUACAAGCACCGCCUGGACUGGACACAGCUAGACAAAUAUAUGUUUUUUGAGAAGAUCAGGGAGUUUUGCGACGAAGAGGCUAUGGUAAUCACAUCCCCUGCACCAAAGUCGAGGGCAGGACAGAAACAGGCUCUCCGAAUAUAAACUCAGCAAAAAAUAAACGUCCUCACUGUCAA